rnacentral:tRNA from 1 species
GGCCCCAUGGUCAAGAGGUUAAGACAUCGCCCUCUCACGGCGAAGACAGGGGUUCGAUUCCCCUUGGGGCUA